rnacentral:rRNA from 1 species
CAGUAGCCGCGGUAACACGAAGGGGGCUAGCGUUGUUCGGAUUUACUGGGCGUAAAGCGCACGUAGGCGGACUUUUAAGUCAGGGGUGAAAGCCUGGAGCUCAACUCCAGAAUUGCCUUUAAGACUGCAUCGCUUGAACGUCGGAGAGGUGAGUGGAAUUCCGAGUGUAGAGGUGAAAUUCGUAGAUAUUCGGAAGAACACCAGUGGCGAAGGCGGCUCACCGGACGACUGUUGACGCUGAGGUACGAAAGCGUGGGGAGCAAACAGGAUUAGAUACCCCCGUAGUCCCUGUCUCUUAUAC